AUUGAACGCUGGCGGCAUGCCUUACACAUGCAAGUCGAACGGUAACAGGUCUUCGGAUGCUGACGAGUGGCGAACGGGUGAGUAAUACAUCGGAACGUGCCCGAUCGUGGGGGAUAACGCAGCGAAAGCUGUGCUAAUACCGCAUACGAUCUACGGAUGAAAGCGGGGGAUCGCAAGACCUCGCGCGGACGGAGCGGCCGAUGGCAGAUUAGGUAGUUGGUGGGAUAAAAGCUUACCAAGCCGACGAUCUGUAGCUGGUCUGAGAGGACGACCAGCCACACUGGGACUGAGACACGGCCCAGACUCCUACGGGAGGCAGCAGUGGGGGAAUUUUGGACAAUGGGGGAAACCCUGAUCCAGCCAUGCCGCGUGCAGGAUGAAGGCCUCCGGGUUGUAAACUGCUUUUGUACGGAACGAAAAGGUCCUUUCUAAUAAAGAGGGCUCAUGACGGUACCGUAAGAAUAAGCACCGGCUAACUACGUGCCAGCAGCCG
rnacentral:rRNA from 1 species